UUAUAAAUGUAUAGUCAUCACUUAGACGAUACUUUAUUGUUGGUCUGCAUAUUACCUAAAAUGUGUCCCUCUUAUAAAUAAUUCAGGGCAGCCAUGAUUGAAUGAAAAUGAAUUUGAAAUUAAAAUUAAAAAAAAAAACUAAAAAAAUCUCGAAGAACAGACAAAAGUUAUUUUAAAGCACAAAAGUGUGAAACCUAAUCCUUGGUUUAACAAAUUUUCAAAUGGUUGAGCAAAGCAGUACUGCCAAUCUUGAUUUCCAACUGGUUUCUUUUAACUCAUUGUCUUAAACAAUUUGUUUUUCACCAGCUUACUAGGAAUUUCUCUCAUCUGGGCUCCUUCAUCUCUCCUACACUGUUCUUGUAUAUGUCAGACAAUUCUACGGGUUCGCCCAUCAUCUCCAUGAAGAUAUCUCCCAAGUCUAUAGCACUGGAUGUAAUCAUCAAGGACUUUUCACGACGGCUCUGUUCAGAUGAUCAACUCCCCACCUUGACCUUGAGCACAUCUCCCCAUUUUACGUCCCACUGCAAGACAAAAGUUUAGUGUGAAUAUGUGGCACAAGACAGUUUUCUUCUCCUCAUAUGCAUCUUACAAAAGUGAAAAGGGUGGAGAUAAACAGAAGGCCCACAGAGAAAAGAUAACUGAAGUGUUUUCUACUACCAUCAUGUGAGAAUGUAAACUGCAAGCUGAACAAGGCCAUGUAAGAAAGUGCAUUGAGGGAGUAGCCCAGCUUCAGGCUGGUUUUAUAUAAUUCAGUAUUCAGGCUGAGCUGUAUCUGAAUACAAAUUACAACUCAUCCUUCAGCCUGGGUGUCUGCUCAAUAGGCACAGAAUGAGAAACACAAGUGGAAUCUCAAAUUUUCAUGAAAAUGAUUGAAAGAAACAGAUGCAACUUCACUUAGCUGUCCCACUUAAUGCAAUCUCCAAAAGUGAAUUCUACUAAGAAAGACUAGCAAGAAGGUGGCCAGAUGUUUCACCAGCAAGCUCACAGAACAGCUUCUUAGAAACUACUAUAUGCAAAGCUCAACUGUGUCAGUGACUUUAAAAUAAAAACUCAUGGAAUCACA